rnacentral:rRNA from 1 species
AUGUGAUGGGGAGCGAAAUUUAGUAGCGAAGUAGCUGAUUUCACACUGUCAAGAAAAGUCUCUAUCGAGGUUAAAGGUACCCGUACCGCAAACCGACACAGGUGGGUGAGGAGAGUAUCCUAAGGCCCGCGAGAGAACUGUUGUUAAGGAACUCGGCAAAAUGACCCCGUAACUUAGGGAUAAGGGGUGCCACCAUACGGUGGCCGCAGAGAAUAGGCCCAAGCGACUGUUUACCAAAAACAUAGGUUUCUGCUAAGUCGCAAGACGAUGUAUAGGAGCUGACGCCUGCCCGGUGCUGGAAGGUUAAGGGGAUCUGUUAGAGCAAUCGAAGCAGUGAACUUAAGCCCCAGUAAACGGCGGCCGUAACUAUAACGGUCCUAAGGUAGCGAAAUUCCUUGUCGGGUAAGUUCCGACCCGCACGAAAGGCGUAACGAUUUGGGCACUGUCUCAACAACAGACUCGGUGAAAUUGUAAUUCCGGUGAAGAUGCCGGAUACCUGCGACAGGACGGAAAGACCCCAUGGAGCUUUACUGUAGCUUGACAUUGGGUCUUGGUACUACAUGUACAGGAUAGGUGGGAGGCUUUGAAACCAGGACGCCAGUUUUGGCGGAGCCAUCCUUGGGAUACCACCCUUGUAGUACUGGGACUCUAACCAUAGGCCAUGAAUCUGGUCUUGGGACACUGUCAGGUGGGCAGUUUGACUGGGGCGGUCGCCUCCCAAAAGGUAACGGAGGCGCUCAAAGGUUCUCUCAGUACGGUCGGAAAUCGUACGUAGAGUGUAAAGGCAAAAGAGAGCUUGAUUGCAAGACAUACAGGUCGAGCAAGGAUGAAAAUCGGACUUAGUGAUCCGGUGGUUCUGCGUGGAAGGGCCAUCGCUCAACGGAUAAAAGCUACCCUGGGGAUAACAGGCUUAUCUCCCCCAAGAGUCCACAUCGACGGGGAGGUUUGGCACCUCGAUGUCGGCUCAUCACAUCCUGGGGCUGUAGUAGGUCCCAAGGGUUGGGCUGUUCGCCCAUUAAAGUGGUACGCGAGCUGGGUUCAGAACGUCGUGAGACAGUUCGGUCCCUAUCCGUCGCAGGCGUAGGAAAUUUGAGAAGACCUGUCCUUAGUACGAGAGGACCGGGAUGGACGUACCUCUGGUGUACCAGUUGUUCUGCCAAGGGCAUGGCUGGGUAGCUAUGUACGGAAUGGAUAAGCGCUGAAAGCAUCUAAGCGCGAAGCCAACUUCAAGAUAAGAUUUCCCACCGCAAGGGUAAGACCCCAGAAAGACUAUCUGGUUGAUAGGUCGA